rnacentral:rRNA from 1 species
AACGAACGCUGGCGGCAUGCCUAACACAUGCAAGUCGAACGAGACCUUCGGGUCUAGUGGCGCACGGGUGCGUAACGCGUGGGAACCUGCCCUUAGGUUCGGAAUAACUCCCCGAAAGGGGUGCUAAUACCGGAUAAUGUCUUCGGACCAAAGAUUUAUCGCCUUUGGAUGGGCCCGCGUUGGAUUAGCUAGUUGGUAGGGUAAAAGCCUACCAAGGCGACGAUCCAUAGCUGGUCUGAGAGGAUGAUCAGCCACACUGGGACUGAGACACGGCCCAGACUGCGACGGGAGGAAGCAGUAGGGAAUCGUCAGCAAUGGGGGAAAGCCGGACGGAGCAACGGGGCGGGAGGGAUGACGGCGUUCGGAUCGGAAAACUAACUGACGAGGGAAGAAGAUAGGGGUAAGUAACUGUGCGCAGCGGGACGGUACCUAAUCAGAAAGCCACGGCGAACUACGUG